AGUGAACGCUGGCGGUAGGCCUAACACAUGCAAGUCAAACGGCAGCACAGGAGAGCUUGCUCUCUGGGUGGCGAGUGGCGGACGGGUGAGGAAUACAUCGGAAUCUACCUUUUCGUGAGGGAUAACGUAGGGAAACUUACGCUAAUACCGCAUACGACCUACGGGUGAAAGUGGGGGACCGCAAGGCCUCACGCGAUUAGAUGAGCCGAUGUCCGAUUAGCUAGUUGGCGGGGUAAUGGCCCACCAAGGCGACGAUCGGUAGCUGGUCUGAGAGGAUGAUCAGCCACACUGGAACUGAGACACGGUCCAGACUCCUACGGGAGGCAGCAGUGGGGAAUAUUGGACAAUGGGCGCAAGCCUGAUCCAGCCAUACCGCGUGGGUGAAGAAGGCCUUCGGGUUGUAAAGCCCUUUUGUUGGGAAAGAAAUCCUGUCGAUUAAUACUCGGUGGGGAUGACGGUACCCAAAGAAUAAGCACCGGCUAACUUCGUGCCAGCCGCCGCCGUAAAAC
rnacentral:rRNA from 1 species